rnacentral:rRNA from 1 species
CCUACGGGGGGCAGCAGUAGGGGAUAUUGCUCAAUGGGGGAAACCCUGAUGCAGCAACGCCGCGUGGAGGAUGAAGGUUUUCGGAUCGUAAACUCCUUUUGUCAGAGAAGAAAAUGACGGUAUCUAACGAAUAAGCACCGGCUAACUCCGUGCCAGCAGCCGCGGUAAUACGUAGGGUGCAAGCGUUACUCGGAAUUACUGGGGGUAAAGAGCGCGUAGGCGGGAAAGCAAGUCAGAUGUGAAAGCCUAGGGCUUAACCAUAGGACUGCAUUUGAAACUGUUAUUCUGGAGUAUGGGAGAGGUAGGUGGAAUUCUUGGUGUAGGGGUAAAAUGCGUAGAGAUUAAGAGGAACACUCAUGGCGAAGGCGACCUGCUAGAACAUAACUGACGCUGAGGCGCGAAGGCGUGGGGAGCAAACAGGAUUAGAUACCCGUGUAGUC